CACAAUAUAACCAUUCAUAUACUUAAUCUCCGUCGGAUUUCGCAGUCGCACAUCCUGCAGCAUAGAACUGAUGUUCUUGGCGGUGUUCGCCAUCACACUCACGGCAAGGGUGCGCAAGCGAUCAGGCGCGAACCGCGCUUGUAUACCAGGAAUCCCCUGCAGUUCCGGCAAAGCGCAGAUGACAGCAGAGAUCUCAAGGAGGAGUAGUCGUUGGACACGGGAGAUAUGGUAGUUGUAGAGGAGGUCACCAUUGAAACAGUCGAAAAUGACGGUGAGAGGGUUGAUGAUGCAGUUUAUGGCCAGCUUUUCGAGUUGGUGUUGGAGGAAAGUGUCCGAAGGAACUGCGGCGGCGACUAGCUGGGUGUUACGGGUUAAGACCCGUAUUAGGUAGAG
rnacentral:sRNA from 1 species